rnacentral:misc_RNA from 1 species
GAUGAAGAACGUAGCGAAAUGCGAUAAGUAAUGUGAAUUGCAGAAUUCAGUGAAUCAUCGAAUCUUUGAACGCACAUUGCGCCCCUUGGUAUUCCGAGGGGCAUGCCUGUUCGAGCGUCAUUAUAACCCCUCAAGCUCAGCUUGGUGUUGGGGCCUGCUGCACUGGCAGCCCUUAAAAUCAGUGGCGGCGCCAUCUGGCUCUAAGCAUAGUAAUUCUUCUCGCUAUGGAGUCCUGGUGGAUGCUUGCCAUCAACCCCCAAUUUUUCUAUGGUUGACCUCGGAUCAGGUAGGGAUACCCGCUGAACUUAAGCAUAUCAAUAAGCGGAGGA